CUCUUUCUCUUUUUUAGAAGCCAAGCUGCAGUCAACACACAGAAGCAAAAGGUCCUCAUGUAAUUCACAAGGCUGAUGGACCUCAGUUCAUUCUAUGAGCAUCUGGACAGCUGUCUAUUCAGUGGUUCAGGUCAAAUGAGGGGGUUAAAGAAAUUACAUCCAUACUGGAACGUCUUCACAAGGAUGCAUCGAAUCAAAGACAGUUGGGCAGCAGCAUUGCAGAGCCUACCAGGGUAC